rnacentral:misc_RNA from 1 species
UCCAGAAAGGGGAGUCAGA